AGUCUCGCUCUGUCACCCAGGCUGGAAUGCAUUGGCUCCAUCUCAGCUCACUGCAACCUCCGCUUCCCGGGUUCAAGUGAUUCUCCUGCCUCAGCCUCCUGAGUAGCUGGGAUUACAGAUGAGGAAGCCGAGGCACUGAGAGGAGAAGUAACAAGCUCAAGGUCUGAAGUGUUUCCAAGGGAAAGCAUGUGGCAUUUCACCUGAGUUAUGUAUUGUUUCAAACAUCCAGUGGAGGGUUUCUGGUAUCUCUCUUGAACUCUGGUGAGCUCAUGUCUGAAGCAGUUUGGUGAAGUGUGAGCCAGAUGUAGCCAGAUGGGUUGGGAGCUACAGAGGGGGCAGGCAAAAGUGAUGUGAAGAAUGCUCAAAGGGCCAGCCCGUCUGAUUUAUAAAGAGAAGCAUUGAGGGUGUAAAGGCAUGCAUACAAAUACCUGCAGUUAUCCAACACAUGGGGACCCUGAGGAGGAAGCAGGAUCUUGGCACUUUAUAACACUUGGAAUUAACAAUUUGGACAACAACUAAAAAGAAAAACAUGAAUCCAAUAUUUCUGAUGCCAGUAAAAUCUCCUUGGCUCUGGAAUAGUCAUUUUCCGUGAAGUGCAGCCCUCUCACAUGCACAAACUUGCUGAAAACAAAACGAUGAAGCACCAGGAAGCUGACAGCCAGUCAUUUUCUGACACAAUGGUAUGUGUUGUCUGAUAUGCUGGAAAUCACUCCAGCCUGCCUGUAUUUGUUCACCAGCCCCAGCCUCUGUCUCCCACACAUCUGCCAGAAACUUAGUAUUAGUCAGUUUUUGCUGAGAAACAAACAUCUCAGCUGAUGCUGUGUGACAAACAUGGGCCAGCAGGUCAGCCGCAGUUUGGCUGAUCUAGGCUGAAUAUGGCAGGGCCAAGCUGGACUCCAGUUGGGUUCAGGUUGACUCAUGCAUCCUUGGGACAUGCUGUCCUCAUGGGAGAUCAUAGGACUGCAGGCCACCAAGCCAAAUCACACAAACCCAUUUAAAGCCUCUGCUUGUAUCACAUCUGCUAAUAGUCCACUGGCCAAAGCAAAUCACAUGGCCAAGCUCAACAACAAAGAGGCAGGGAGGUAUAGGCAGCCUACAUUAUAUUUAUUGGGAGAUAAUGUAAAUGGCAAUGCUUAAGAUACCCCUCAUUCUCUCCAAUAUGGUGACUUCAAGGAAAGGUGAUUUUCAAGCUUUAUCUUGAAAAUAUCAAGCAUGGCAGUGCUUAAAAUACUCCUCUCCAAUAUGUCAAUACCUGGCAAUGCUUAAGAUAACCCUCCUUCUCUCCAAUAUACUGAUUUCAAGGAACUGCGAUAGUCAAGCUUUAUCUUGGCAUUAGCACUGGGUGUAGGCUGCAGAAGAAUCAGUAUCUCAGACAAAUGGAAUGGUAUAUGGAAACACACAGAAGUUUCAGGAGGUUUCCUAGGUUUUAACUUACAUUAAAUACAUGUGUUUAGCCUACACUAGUCGAGGGGAGGGGUCGAAAAACAGGGGCCAGCACUCAGUUGGUGGGAAGAAAAAUGUCCCUGUUUGAUUUAGGACCUGGGUAGAUCAAUGGCCCCUGAGAACACCUCGAAACUCAUUUUGCUCUUCCACAGCCUCAUCCACUGUGUUCCUGCCCUGCUGACCUCCUUUCUGUCUCUUGUCACACUGAACUCUUUCUUUCCUCAGGACCUUUGCACGUGCAGUCACCACUGUCUCAAAUGCCCUUCCCUGACUUCUCUCAGUUGGCUCCUUCCCCAGUGUUUGUCCUUCACUUACAGAUCUGCCUCCCAGAAAAACCUUUCUUGAUUGCCUGUGUUGGAUAUUUUCUAAAUGCACUUGAAAUCCACUUUUCACCCUGUCCUGUGUUCAGAGAGGCAUUGACAGUUCUUCAUGACUCCAGUUUCUUCUUGGGGGCAGAAGGUCAGAGGCUGGAGAGAAGUCAGGGGGUUUAUCCCCUGGGCUCCCUCUCUGAAGAGUCAUGUUGGUGGCCUCUGUACCUCUACUGAAAGCUUCUGUCAAGAGGAUGCUCUCUGCCACCUCAGCUUCCUCCUCUCAUCCUUUGAGGUUGGAAAAGACUCUCAGCAAUUGCUAGCUUUUCUUUUGCUUCCCUCCAAGGACCCUCGCUAUUUCUUGCUGGUUUCCCUCAAUCCUCUACACACUUUUUCACUGAACAGUCUUUCUCUAAGUUACAACAUUUGAGAUUGCCAUCUCUUCCUGCCAGGGCCCUAAUUAACACACGACCCUAUCUAAAUAUGUCUCUCCGUUACUCUUCUUCACUGACCCUUAUUUUUUUCUUCACGCACAUAGAGUUAUAUAAUUGCAAACUUUAUUUAUUUACUUGUUUCCUGCAUGUAUACCUUGGUGACUGUGAGUUCCAUGAAGAUAGGGACAAGGCUUGUUUUAUUUACUGCUACGUGCUCUUCAUAUGGUACUUGUAUGUGGCUCAAAAAUAUUUGUUAUAUGAGCAUAAAAACAAAUGAAUGGAUAACAAGAUACCAGUCAGGUUCCCAGAGAAGAAAUUUCUUUAGUUGAGCAAUUGCUAUUUUUCAGGUAUUAUGUCCAUGCAUUACUUCAUUUACAAUACCCUAGAGGUAGAUGUAAUUAAUGUCUCUGUCAUAUAAACAGACUUUGAGGAGACUGAAACUUUGAGAGCUUAAAUAGCUUUCUAGAAGACAUACAGCUAGCAGGUAGUUGCUCAAGGAUUUAAACCAAGUUCUGUCUGACUCCAGUUGCCCUGCGUUUAAUCACUGCACUGACCUAAAUGGCUGGGCAUUGGAAGGUAAUAUAGGGCCUGGUAGCCGUUUCCAAUCUCUCAUUUAGCUGCAAUGGAGAAUGUAACUAAUAGUUGGAUCAAGACUCCUGGUCCCUCCAGGACUACCAGGUGGAUGGAUCAAUCAGAUUCAGACUGUGUGGCUAAUAGAAUACCCCCAUCAUUUAUUUUUCUGUUAUUAAUGAAUGAUGGAACUUAAGACUGAGGCACGGUAGUUCUCACCUAGUGGAUUCUGCCUCUUUGUUGUCUGUGUGUACUAAGGAUAUAUUUAAUAAUUUGCUCUUAUGUAUGUAUACGAUGUAAAAAGAGGUUAAUUCCAUACCAAGCAGAACAUCUGUCAAAAAAUUAGGGCCUUAGUUUUACAAAUCCCCAGCCUCCUUUGAUUAUUGCUGUAACUCAUGCAGACAGAAGACAAUCUUUAAAUUAUACAGAACUUCAUGAUUAAAAUAUUUUGCCCCUUUUU